UUUGCUGUAAAUAGAUCAGUUCUGUCCAUGUGCUCUGUUUUCCAUGUAUUAGAGGGAGCUGGCAUGUCACUGAGCCUCUGUGCUUUGCAUAUGUGUUGUGUGAUUACAGCGGUGGAAGCAGCCAGCUGUCCAUGAAGACAGCAGAGGCUUACAGAUUUGCUGCACAGCUCUGGGGCAAUGGCAUUACACAACACGUUGGCAGGAAGAGCUUUGUGCACACGAGAGACUGUGGCCAUCGAAGCUCUGGAUGAGACCAGAGAAACUGUCAUACAGCUGGCUCUAGGUGUCACCGGCCGCCAGAUGCAUCAACCACCUCCCAGAGACCUGUCGCAUCAUUAAGCCAUCAGCACAUCACUGCGGACAGAGAGAAAACAGGCCGUGGCAGGGACUAAUCCAGCUGCAAACCUGUCCAGAUGAAUAAUACAUCGGCCUAUCAGACAAAUGUUCAGCUAAGCAGGAGUGGACCACCGUGCCCUGCUCGAGAGGGUCCAGAGAUUGACUUCCUUCCAUUAGGCUCCUCCGUUGGACUCGAGACCUCGCUCUGUUCCCAUGGCUCUCUGAGGAGGGUUGGCCGCAGCACCUGGGGGUAAGGACAGGCGAGGCGAGAGAAAAGGACACUAAAGGAUGAGGAGGCACAGAGGCAAGAGAGAGGGGAGAGGGAAAAAAGAAAAACCGACCACACUGGCUUUCUACUCCUUCGACACCUGGGGGACAAUAACGGCUCCCUCGGCUGGGGGCGCCCGGUAACUAGCCCCCUGCCUGCUUCUCCUUUACAUGGCAGACGGUAGUAGGUCUGGCCUCCGGUGAACAGUGGCAACUCCAUCCCCUCACAGGACGGCAGCUGCCCCUCCUUGACCCAGGCGGAUGCCAGCGAGCUUCCGUCCAUCACUCCAGCACCACCGCCUCAGGCAGCCACUGGCAGACUCCUUCGUGCUGCUGACCUCCUCAGCACCAUAAGCCCCCUCUUUGACAGCAUGUUCUUCCUUCCUCUGGGGUUUCAGCACCAAUAUAACAAAGUUUGUUGAUAAGAGAAGGAGGAGGCAGGAACCAGCGAACUUUUAACGCAAUUUUAGUACAAAACAAAACAAGAAAAAUAAAAAAAUAAAACAAAACAAAAUAAAAGCCCCUUCACGGAUGACAGCUGCAUAAACUAAAACAAAACAACAACAUAAAGUCCAGGCCUGUUCCUCUCUCAUCUUCCAUUGUCAUCAGUACUCCUUUUAUCUUUCCGCAAAUUAUGUAACAUCAUUUAGACACCACUUUUCUCCUCUGAUGGCCUUUCAAAAGUUUCUGUGUUUUGACAAUGUUGUAAUCAUAGUAUUUUUAAAAUCAUAAAUAUUUCAUCAUACCAUGUGACACCAUCUUGACGCAAAACAAAACAAAACACAUUUUUUUCUCCAUUAACCUUUCAUAAUUUGCUGUGUAUU